rnacentral:antisense_RNA from 1 species
GAACACAAAAUGGCGACACGUGGUUAGCAUUCGUCGCCAACGAGAAAUUGGGGUCGGCCCGAAAGCUCUAGAAUGCACCCCUAUUCCUCCCCGGGGCCAUUCCCGCUCAACGAGUUUUAUGACCUAAAAAACCCCACAGGCUGGUCUGAAGAGGAAGACACUUAAAGAUGAAGUGCUUAAUUCAAGGUCACAGAAUGUCGGGGAUGGACCUCCAGAUUUCCUUACUGGAAAACAAGCUCAGGGCUCCCACUGAUUGUACAUUAUGAGACAGAGUCUUCUUGCUAUGUUGCCCAGGCUGGUCUUGAACUCCUAACCUCAAGCGAUCCUCCCAUCUUGGCCUCCCAGGUGUCAGGAUUACAGGCAUGUGCUAUCACACCCAACCUGAUACAUUGCCUUUAUAAAUUUUUUUUUCUUUAUUCUAAAAAACAGAAAAAACAAAACUGGAUACAUGUGCAGAACAUGCAGGUGAGACGUGGUCUUGUAACACAGUGGUUAAGAAUGUGACUUUGGAGCCAGCCUGCUAGGGGCUGAAUUCUGACUCAGCCAUUUAUUAACUG